GAAAUGCGAUAAGUAAUGUGAAUUGCAGAAUUCAGUGAAUCAUCGAAUCUUUGAACGCACCUUGCGCUCCUUGGUAUUCCUUGGAGCAUGCCUGUUUGAGUAUCAUGAAAUCUUCAAAGUAAAUCUUUUGUUAACUCCAUUGGCUUCUACUUUGGUAUUGGAGGUCUUUGCAGCUUCACACCUGCUCCUCUUUGUUCAUUAGCUGGAUCUCAGUGUUAUGCUUGGUUCCACUCGGCGUGAUAAGUUAUCUAUCGCUGAGGACACUGUAAAAGGUGGCCAAGGUAAAUGCAGAUGAACCGCUUCUAAUAGUCCAUUGACUUGGACAAUACUUUUAUGAUCUGAUCUCAAAUCAGGUAGGACUACCCGCUGAACUUAAGC
rnacentral:misc_RNA from 1 species